GUACCGGGUGGUCACGUGGCUAGUGUGUCGAUGAAGAGCGCAGCCAACUGUGUGAAUUAAUGUGAACUGCAUACUGCUUUGAACAUCGACAUCUUGAACGCAUAUUGCGGUCACAGGCUUGCCUGUGGCCACGCCUGUCCGAGGGUCGGCUUACAUAUUAUCACGACGCCCAAAAUGUCGUGGCUUGGAUAAUGCCAACUGACGUGAUUUCCCUGUGCCUGAUGGUUGCUGUUCUCGUUAUUCAUCAGGUUGGGGUCGGGUUCACGGCGUUAUCUGGAUGUAUCCGAACACAUUAGCAUCGUGAGAGUGACUCGGAUGAGAAUGUGACGACGGAGUCGUGGCUCAGUGUUUUAAACGCGCUCCGUUUGUUUCAUUGUCUCGCCCAUAUGUUGUCAAUGGCGAUAGUAAUGGUGUUCGACGACUUCUCUCUCCCGACCUCGGAUCAGACGUGAAUACCCGCUGAACUUAAGCAUAUCACUAAGCGGAGGAAAAGAACCUAACCAGGAAAUU
rnacentral:rRNA from 1 species